ensembl:lncRNA
UUCUGGUUUCCCAGGCGUGUCUGCCCCUCUGAAGGUUUAGCUCUCCCUCCCAUGGGAUUUGUGUGCAGAGAACUGUUGAUCCAGUCCCUUCAGGUCUAGGUGGUAUCUGGAGCACAGGGGACCUGCAGCUCCAGAGCCCCUAUCUUCCGGUUCCCAGAGCAGUUGGUGCAGAUUAGCUAGCCCUGAAGAAUUGGCUACCAUUCACAGAAGUAUCAUAGAGGUGAGAUUUUCUUAAAAGUGUUUCCUUGAGGUCAAUAUACAGAAGGUGUGAUCUGGAUGUAGUUAAGGCUAUCUCAAAUUGGAAGUUGAACUUGGUAAUGUGUAAGAGUCUAUCACAUGGUACUGGUUUUGGCAAUAUAAAUCCUGAGUUUUCAAAGAUUCAUCAGGAGCAGCUAAGGCAUGGCACCACGUGGUAAAAUCAGAGUUCCUGAGAAGAGGCCAGGAGGUCAUUGUAGGUCCUCAGAAUAAAGGAGAUAUGUAGGCAUAUAUUUUUCCCAAACUACUUUACUAAGCAUUCAACCUCCCCUCUAGCCCACCACCCACCAGAGGUGGUGGAAAAGAAAGGUUAUUUGGACACACAGGAAGUCCACUUGGCAGUCACCACACAGGAACCAACAAGGGCAGCUCAGUGUACAAGAACCCAUAAGACUCGCCAUCUGGCCAAAGACUAAGGAAGAAGCAAGAAGCCUCAGGAACCUCAGGGAAAGUUCUAAGCCUAGUUUUUCUCUAUGUUCCCACAGGCAGAGCUCAGCAACACAGGGUAAAGUAAAACCAGUGCAUGCAUAUCACUAUUGAAGAAUAGAAAGGUGGAGCAAAGCAAGCCAAUGCUUAAGUUCCCACUGUCUAUGGCACCAUGCUUUUAUUCUUCCUGAACAUUGUGUGUCCUUUAACAUGGUUGCUAUAGCAGAGUUUCUGUGUCUUUUUCAGAAAAUAAAUUCCUUCAUGUGUCUGCUUUAGCAAAACCACAUUUGACCUGUGUUCCCCCAGUAACAUAUCACUUGUCAUAACUGACUUUCCAAAGAUCUCAGAAGUUUUCACUUCAGAGAUAUCAUGACAGUGCAGUGAUUACAAAGACAGGGUAGCUUAAGAGUGCAGCUAUCCCAAGAUUGUGAGGUAAGUUGUGUGUGUUGAUGUGGCAGACUGAGGAAAGUGUAGCUCCACAAGGUCUUUGAUGUUCAGAAGGUCGUGAAUUCUGUAUGUCAGAUACUGAGCUAUUUACAUUGUCACAUUUCAGUUUUGCUUUUAUCUGAUUAUAAUUAUGCAUUGUUUUCCCCUUUUGAAAUAAGAUUUGACUAAUUAUGAAUUUUAUAGGACCC